UACGGGGGGGGGCAAGCGUUGUUCGGAAUCAUUGGGCGUAAAGGGCGCGUAGGUGGUUCUGUAUGUCUACCGUGAAAGCAUACAGCUCAACUGUAUUUUGUCGGUAGAAACUGCAGGACUUGAGGCUGGGAGGGGCUGGUGGAAUUCCCUGUGUAGCGGUGAAAUGCGUAGAGAUGGGGGAGAACACUCGUGGCGGAAGGCGACAUCCUGGACCAACACUGACGCUGAGGAGCGAAAGGCCAGGGGAGCAAACGGG
rnacentral:rRNA from 1 species